rnacentral:rRNA from 1 species
AAAUUGAAGAGUUUGAUCAUGGCUCAGAUUGAACGCUGGCGGCAGGCCUAACACAUGCAAGUCGAACGGUAACAGGAAGCAGCUUGCUGCUUUGCUGACGAGUGGCGGACGGGUGAGUAAUGUCUGGGAAACUGCCUGAUGGAGGGGGAUAACUACUGGAAACGGUGGCUAAUACCGCAUAACGUCGCAAGACCAAAGAGGGGGACCUUCGGGCCUCUUGCCAUCAGAUGUGCCCAGAUGGGAUUAGCUAGGUUGUUAGGUAACGGCUCACCAAGGCGACGAGCCCGAGAUGGGCUGAUAGGAUGACCAGCCACUCUGGAACUGGGAUACAGUCCGGACGCCUACUGGAGGCAGCAGUGGUGAAUAUUGCACAAUGAGCGCAAGCCUGAUGCAGCCAUGCCUCGUGUAUGAAGAAGGCCUUCGGGUUGUAAAGUACUUUCAGCGGGGAGGAAGGUGUUGUGGUUAAUAACCGCAGCAAUUGACGUUACCCGCAGAAGAAGCACCGGCUAACUCCGUGCCAGCAGCCGCGGUAAUACGGAGGGUGCAAGCGUUAAUCGGAAUUACUGGGCGUAAAGCGCACGCAGGCGGUCUGUCAAGUCGGAUGUGAAAUCCCCGGGCUCAACCUGGGAACUGCAUUCGAAACUGGCAGGCUUGAGUCUUGUAGAGGGGGGUAGAAUUCCAGGUGUAGCGGUGAAAUGCGUAGAGAUCUGGAGGAAUACCGGUGGCGAAGGCGGCCCCCUGGACAAAGACUGACGCUCAGGUGCGAAAGCGUGGGGAGCAAACAGGAUUAGAUACCCUGGUAGUCCACGCCGUAAACGAUGUCUACUUGGAGGUUGUGCCCUUGAGGCGUGGCUUCCGGAGCUAACGCGUUAAGUAGACCGCCUGGGGAGUACGGCCGCAAGGUUAAAACUCAAAUGAAUUGACGGGGGCCCGCACAAGCGGUGGAGCAUGUGGUUUAAUUCGAUGCAACGCGAAGAACCUUACCUGGUCUUGACAUCCACGGAAGUUUUCAGAGAUGAGAAUGUGCCUUCGGGAACCGUGAGACAGGUGCUGCAUGGCUGUCGUCAGCUCGUGUUGUGAAAUGUUGGGUUAAGUCCCGCAACGAGCGCAACCCUUAUCCUUUGUUGCCAGCGAUUAGGUCGGGAACUCAAAGGAGACUGCCAGUGAUAAACUGGAGGAAGGUGGGGAUGACGUCAAGUCAUCAUGGCCCUUACGACCAGGGCUACACACGUGCUACAAUGGCGCAUACAAAGAGAAGCGACCUCGCGAGAGCAAGCGGACCUCAUAAAGUGCGUCGUAGUCCGGAUUGGAGUCUGCAACUCGACUCCAUGAAGUCGGAAUCGCUAGUAAUCGUGGAUCAGAAUGCCACGGUGAAUACGUUCCCGGGCCUUGUACACACCGCCCGUCACACCAUGGGAGUGGGUUGCAAAAGAAGUAGGUAGCUUAACCUUCGGGAGGGCGCUUACCACUUUGUGAUUCAUGACUGGGGUGAAGUCGUAACAAGGUAACCGUAGGGGAACCUGCGGUUGGAUCACCUCCUUACCUUAAAGAA